rnacentral:rRNA from 1 species
UCGGGAAUUUUGGGCAAUGGGCGAAAGCCUGACCCAGCAACGCCGCGUGAGGGAUGAAGUAUUUCGGUAUGUAAACCUCGAAAGAAUGGGAAGAAUAAAUGACGGUACCAUUUAUAAGCUCCGGCUAACUACGUGCCAGCAGCCGCGGUAAUACGUAGGGAGCAAGCGUUGUUCGGAUUUACUGGGCGUAAAGGGCGCGUAGGCGGCGCGGUAGGUCACUUGUGAAAUCUCUGAGCUUAACUCAGAACGGCCAAGUGAUACUGCUGUGCUAGAGUGCGGAAGAGGCAACCGGAAUUCUUGGUGUAGCGGUGAAAUGCGUAGAUAUCAAGAGGAACACCUGAGGCGAAGGCGGGUUGCUGGGCCGACACUGACGCUGAUGCGCGAAAGCCAGGGGAGCAAAC